GCCCAGGAUAGAACAUCUUUAAACAUUUUGUAAUUAAACUGUUCAGAAAAAGAGGUAGAGUAUAAUUAUGUCCAGGCUUUAGAUCAUACUUUAAAGAAAGUUUAUUUAGUUAUUUUACUCUUUUAAUGAAAAUUACAGGUUUCUGAAGAAAUAGAGAAAAUGUCAUCUAGAGAGAGGGCUUUGCAGAUUAAAAUAUUAAAUCUGGAAAUUGAACUUAGAAAGAAAAAUGAAGAACAAAAUCAACUUGUUUGCAAAAUGCACAGCAAAGCACAACACCAGGAAGUAUGUUUGAAGGAAAUACAACAUAGUCUUGAAAAGUCGGAGAAUCAAAAUGAAAGUAUUAAGAAUUAUUUACAGUUUCUAAAAACUUCUUAUGUAACAAUGUUUGGAUAAAUGGUUAUAUUUAUUUUCUAUAAGCAAUAGGAUUUUACUCUAAGUCUAAAACAUGAUUAGGUACAAAAAUAAUAAUAAAUAUAAUUUAUGGGUGGUAGUAGUAGAGUUUUUAUGAGGCUUUCUUAAAUACAAUUUAUUUUCCAAUUGCAACUUUAAAAUAAGAUACUGAUGUUAGUAUUCCUUUUUGCUGGAUAAUUUUCAUUUAGUUCUGGUUUAAUACCUAUUUAAAUUAUAUUGAUUUUUAGAAUGGUUUUCACACACAGAAAAGAAGCCAGAAUCAUUUUUUGUGACUGUAGCCAUCAGUUAAUUGAAUUUGUAAUGAAUCUAGGCCAGUUAUGAGCCAAAUACAUGAUUUUGAAUAACAUAUAUAAUUGUUUUACUUUGUGGUGCUAUAUAUGUAUGUAUAAAAUCAAGGAAAAUAUUCUGGAUAUUAAUUGUUAAUAAUAGUAUAAUUACAUACUUUCUAAAGAUACCAAAUGUCAAAUUAAUACUGUUUCAAGUAUGAUGCCAUUAUAAUUUCUGUGAGGAUUUUAAUAAAGAAUUUUAAAUCAUAGCUAUUAAAUGCCAGCUGAUGGUGACAGAUGAAA